rnacentral:rRNA from 2 species
UUCCUACGGGUGGCUGCAGUGGGGAAUAUUGGACAAUGGGCGCAAGCCUGAUCCAGCCAUGCCGCGUGAGUGAUGAAGGCCCUAGGGUUGUAAAGCUCUUUUAACGGGGAAGAUAAUGACGGUACCCGUAGAAUAAGCCCCGGCUAACUUCGUGCCAGCAGCCGCGGUAAUACGAAGGGGGCUAGCGUUGCUCGGAAUCACUGGGCGUAAAGCGCACGUAGGCGGACUCUUAAGUCGGUGGUGAAAUCCUGGAGCUCAACUCCAGAACUGCCUUCGAUACUGGGAGUCUCGAGUUCGGGAGAGGUGAGUGGAACUGCGAGUGUAGAGGUGAAAUUCGUAGAUAUUCGCAAGAACACCAGUGGCGAAGGCGGCUCACUGGCCCGAUACUGACGCUGAGGUGCGAAAGCGUGGGGAGCAAACAGGAUUAGAUACCCCAGUAGUC